GUUCCUGCUUUAGUACCGUACAUCUGCAUCAUCCAGAUGUGUGGCUAUGCUAACAGGACAGAGAAACGUCCUGUCAGAGUCUGAAGGGGUGGAUGGACAAACCCACCGCCUCUAUAUGUACUGACGGAACAUCGACAU